rnacentral:ncRNA from 2 species
UUAGUUGUGGGCUGUCGUGGUCCUUGGGACGCCUGUCCCAAGGCUAAGAGGGAAUCCGGUGCGGCAACGCCAAAGCCGGAGCUGCCCCCGCAACUGUAAGCGGCGAGCCAUUGUCCAUCGGUGCCACUGAAACUUUCGGUUUCGGGAAGGCCGGGCCAUGGCGCGGACCCGUGAGCCAGGAGACCUGCCGCGACAGCAUGAACGUC